AUGCGCUCCUGUGUCACGCUGACCAGGGUUAAAUACAGAACUGCUCACCCCAAAAACUGUGGGCGAGGUCACACCCCAACGAGUCUUUGAUGCGUCUUUGCUCAUUUGAGCGCUGCAGAUUCAAGCAGGGACACACAUGUGCACACAAACAAACACAGAUGGUCUUUUCCCUUGGAAAACAUAUGGACUUUUUCCAGGUCUUGGAGCUAAACGGGCUGAUUCCCCCUAUCUCCUGGCCAUCUGAUUUAACCUUUCCAGAAGUACCUGAUCCCCCAGAGUAAAACCCUUAAAGCCCAGCGUGACCGGCCUCUAGACUGUGGGAACUGUACUGUUGACUCUUGCCCCAUAAAAACUGCUUGCAAUUACAGAGAAGGACAACCAGAUGUAAUGAGAGGAAGUGCAACGGCCCAUCACUGCCCAGUGCUUUAUAAUCAAACUCGGCAGACUUUGAGAAGGAAGGUUACGCCUGAGAGACUGAAGUGAAAAGCCCUGUCCUCUGAUUUAUGACCUUCUGCUGCCAUCGGAUCUUCUCCUGCACCGAAACAGACCCUCCCAGAAACCCCCAAGAGUUUUAGGUUUCCAAAGCCCAUCGAACUGUCUCGCGACGGCCGUCGUCAUCCUGUCGCGGUGUGUUUAUGCCGGAGGAGGGACGGAUCACUCCGGCCUGUUCUCCGUCCUGACUCAUGCACGGCUCUGGCAGAUUGGAGCUGCUGGCCCAGAAGAAUUAGGCCAGAUUUGCCACACUUCACAACCCUGAUGCACAUUCCCUCCAAAUGCAUGAGGGCGAUUGUGAACAGAGUCUCAUUAUACCACCGUGGCACAAUGAGAGUGGAAAUCUUGGCACGCUCCUUCCUCACAAGCCUUUUCAGACAGAGUUCAGAUGUGUGUAGUCUUCGUCUGAUGAAUGCGUUGUAGGCUCCUCUGACUGUGUAAUUGUGCUUUUACAGUGCGUACGAGACCACCCACGACACCACAGCAUCAAGACCUAAACUUACCCAAAACAUCAUCACUGUUCUUCUGCACACAGGAAAAUGCAAAUCUACAUUUUCACCUGCUUUAGUUUUUUUUCAAGGAAACACAUUUCUUCUGCUUUUUAAACAAACGCAACAUGAAUGUGAGUGUAUCAGCUGUGUGCACUACUAUAUAAGCAUUACUAUAUCAGGCAUGUUUGAUGCAAGUUAAACUUGGGGAGUUUUGUACUCUUUAUUGUAAUUAUUUCAUAUUAUAAGUACAAAUAACAUUAUAUUUCUUCAUCUUUUUCAUUUUUUUUUAAAUUAAGCAAUAAUU